rnacentral:rRNA from 1 species
CCCUUAGAUGUCCUGGGCUGCACGCGCGCUACACUGAUGUGUCCAGUAAGCACCUAACCUCUUCCGAAAGGAACGGGUAACCUUUGCAAAGCACAUCGUGAUGGGGAUAGAUUAUUGCAAUUAUUAGUCUUGAACGAGGAAUUCCUAGUAAGCACAAGUCAUCAGCUUGUGUUGAUUACGUCCCUGCCCUUUGUACACACCGCCCGUCGCUCCUACCGAUUGAAUGUUCCGGUGAGCUCUUCGGACUGCAACCGGUGCGGUUUCCGUACCCUUUGCAAAAAGUUGAAUAAACCUUAUCACUUAGAGGAAGGAGAAGUCGUAACA